GUCUUCGGGGCAGGGUGAAAUUCCCGACCGGCGGUAAAGUCCGCGAACCUCGGUUUACCGGGGCCGAAUCGGUGCGAUUCCGAUACCGACAGUACAGUCUGGAUGGAAGGAGAC
rnacentral:ncRNA from 1 species